GACGAACGCUGGCGGCGUGCUUAACACAUGCAAGUCGAACGGAAAGGCCCUGCUUGCAGGGUGCUCGAGUGGCGAACGGGUGAGUAACACGUGGGUGAUCUGCCCCUUAUUUUGGGAUAAGCCUGGGAAACUGGGUCUAAUACUGGAUAGGACCAUGCUGUAGGUGGUGUGGUGGAAAGAUUAGUUUCGGUAAGGGAUGAGCUCGCGGCCUAUCAGCUUGUUGGUGGGGUAAUGGCCUACCAAGGCGUCGACGGGUAGCCGGCCUGAGAGGGUGGACGGCCACAUUGGGACUGAGAUACGGCCCAGACUCCUACGGGAGGCAGCAGUGGGGAAUAUUGCACAAUGGGCGCAAGCCUGAUGCAGCGACGCCGCGUGGGGGAUGACGGCCUUCUGGUUGUAAACUCCUUUCAGCCAUGACGAAGCCCUUGUGGUGACGGUAGUGGUAGAAGAAGCACCGGCUAACUACGUG
rnacentral:rRNA from 1 species